GGUUAUCAUUCUAUAGAAUUGAAGUUAUAUUAAAUACACUCUCAGAUAAAACAAAAUAUUAAAUACAAAAAUUACAAAUUAAACGGACUGAGCAUAUCAUCUUGGGCAAACAAGCAAUUCGUUAAUUUACGAAAGAGACACUCGUCUAGUAUUCAAGUAUAUAAGAUAUCCCUUGUCACGUUCAAAUGAUGAACACUACUAAGAAACAUUUUGAAUAAUUUGGGACCAAUGCUUAGUUGCGAAGAGAUUUCUCUGUCGCCUUGGCUCAGGUGGUACUAAAUGGGCGAGGACCAGCAUCGAGCUUUGUUGUGACCAAAUGUUAAAAACAGUAUCCGAAUGGCGGUGGAAAUAAAAUAGUAAAACAACAUUUUGACAAUAAUUAGCAUUAAGAUAACUCCACCAUUGGAUGACCUGGGAGUCUGACUGCACCACUACUGCGGUGCUGCUGUUUAUCUAAUACUUCAACCAAGUUUAAAGCUCACAACAGCAGCCUCCAUACCAAUGACCUCCCCAAAACUGUGAUUGUGACUAUUCAUAGAUUACCCACACCACUCAUCCACGAGGGUUAAGACUUGAAACCCAAAACUCUAAAUUUAAAGAUUCAGAUAAAAAUGAUCAUUUCAAUAAACUAAAAAAUAACGAAACUUAGAAAGAUUAAGCAGAUGCUAUAAUCUCAAUCCAUUAAGUCAUAAAAAUCAAACAUCCUCCUAUCGGAUGACUUGGAGAACUAAGAGACAAAAUACAGUUUCUCCGUCAGUGAUGGUUCAUCUAUAACGUCGAUGGCUUUAUUCAAAACUGUAACCAUGCCUCCUGCAACAAAAGAGGUCCCACUUACCACACACUAGUGAUUGAAAGAGAGCAUUUAUGAGAGACAUGAGUAAGCAAGGGCCUUCUCCUCAGAGAGCUCGUCUGCUGUCAAGUCCAACUUCUUCCUCGAAAAUUCGUCAAUGCGAAGUUCUAGGCCAAAUAAAGAGAACGAGAAAAAAAGUGAAAAAAGUUAAUCCAUAAAAGCUGAAAUUCAGUACUGCCAUGGAAUUCAAACAGCAUAUGUUCUUUACAAACUUCCACGAAAAUGAAGACAAAUAGAAGAUAAAGAGUAUAGUCUCUUUAAAAUUAGAAUAAAUAAUUCGAUCAGGUAACUAUAUGAAGUCCAACAAACAAUAAAAAAAAUCCCACAGAUAUGAAAGAAAUAGAUAUAUCUAAAUACCUAUUAUGAUCCCAAUGCGGGUAUAAUAUUGCAAUGACAAACUGAGUACUGAUCAUAGCACUUUUUCAUUUAUAACAAUCUUACCCUGAACAAUUUUCCACUCUCCAUUUUGGCAUGUGACUGGGAAAGAAUAAAUCAGCCCAGAUGGCACAUUGUAUGAGCCAUCAGAGUACACCCCCAUGGAAACCCAGGUACCCUCAGGAGUUCCAAGAACCCAAUCACGAAUGUGAUCGCAAGCAGAACUAGCAGCAGAUAAUGCACUUGAAAGCUUUCGAGCUUUGAUGAUUGCAGCGCCACGUUGUUGGACUGUAGUGAUGAACUCCGCAUUCAACCAUUCAUCAUCUUUAAUAAGCUCCCGGACAGACUUCUCCCCAGAUGGAGUCUUAACAGUAGCAUGGUUGACAUCAGGGUACUGAGUUGAUGAAUGAUUCCCCCAAAUGAUCACAUUCUUAACAUCAGACACUUGGACAUUUAGUCUCUCUGAGAUUUGACCAAGUGCCCUGUUAUGAUCCAGUCUUGUCAAGCAAGUAAUAUUUUUCUCGGGGAUAGACGGAGCAAAUUCCUUCAAAAUCAAUGCAUUUGUGUUUGCUGGGUUGGCAACAACCAGAACCUUGCAAUUUGCAGCUGCAUGCUUCUCUAAAGCUGAAGCCUGGGACCGGUAAAUUGACACAUUUUUUGACAUUACAUCUUUUCUCUCCAUUCCUUCUUUCCUAGGGAAGCCACCAACCAUGACAGCAAUGUUUACCCCAGUGCAAGCCUCAACAACAUCAGUUGUAGCCACAACGCCUUUAAGAAGAGGAAAAGCAGCAUCUACUAACUCCAUCUUCACACCAUUCAAUGCCUCUGCUGCAGGUGGGAUAUCAAGCAUGUGGAGGAUCACAGGUUGGUCAGGACCAAGCAUCACUCCCCUGGCAAUCAUGGGGACAAGGGCAUAUCCAAUUUGUCCUGCAGCACCAGUGACAAGAACGCGAACAGUUUCCUUCGCCAUUGACAGAGAUAGAUAAACAACAAACGAUAAGCUCUCGACUGGUAAAAGCUAAGGAAAAUGGUAAGGCUAGAGCAGAAACGGAAACUAGAUCGAGAAAAGAGAGGACAAAGCGGUGAUAUUUAUUUGUGUGGAAGUG
rnacentral:misc_RNA from 1 species